rnacentral:rRNA from 1 species
UACGGAGGGUGCGAGCGUUAAUCGGAAUUACUGGGCGUAAAGCGCGCGUAGGCGGUUCGAUAAGUCGGGUGUGAAAGCCCUGGGCUUAACCUGGGAAUUGCAUUCGAUACUGUCGAGCUAGAGUGUGGUAGAGGGAAGUGGAAUUUCCGGUGUAGCGGUGAAAUGCGUAGAUAUCGGAAGGAACAUCAGUGGCGAAGGCGGCUUCCUGGACCAACACUGACGCUGAGGUGCGAAGGCGUGGGGAGCAAACAGG